rfam:Cavia porcellus supercont2_51 genomic scaffold, whole genome shotgun sequence.
GGAUAUUUAGCUCAGUGGUAGAGCAUUUGCCUAGCAUGCAUAAGGCUCUGAGUUCAAUACCCA